UCUCCCCACUUCCUUUCUUCCCCAGAUUCACCCCCAUUCCUUCUCCCUCAGAAAAGACCAUAUUGCCUAGGAACAUCAACCAAACAUGGAUAAUAUGUUAUAGUAAUAUGAGACACAUACCAUCAUAUCAAGGUUGGACAAGGUGACCCAGUAGGAGGAAAAGGGUCCCACAAGCAGGCAAAAGAGUCAAAGACAGCCUCCAGCUCCCACUGAACAGAGUCCCACAAGAACACCAAGCUACUCUGCCGUAAUUUGUUUAAAGAAAACAAACACAAUGAAAAGACCACUGACAUGUCAGCGUGCAUGGGCCACACUGCUAAAUGAAGAACUACAGGUAAUUAAUGGCUUCUGAGAGAGUACAAUUUAGUUUUCUCCAGUGACAAGACCUUACAAACCCCGCAGGUUAUUUAAUCCCAAGUGGUCAGCACCAAGUGAAUAUACAUGAGUCCACUACAUGGACUCAGCAGGUUGU
rnacentral:lncRNA from 1 species